rnacentral:tRNA from 1 species
UGGGGAGUGGCCAAGUGGUAAGGCAACGGGUUUUGGAUCCGUGAUCGAAGGUUCGAACCCUUCCUCCCCAGCCA